GCUGGCAAACACUUCUGGAGUACAAUUUUUCAGAAUGUACCCAAAUUCAAAGUUUGAAUAGCUUUGGAGUCCUCUACCACAUUUCUCUUCUGCAGAAGUGUGAACUUGUGCACAAAAAUGCCAUGUGGGGGGACCUCCAGCCCAAUGCUGCCAGUGAAUCUGGUAUGUUCCAGCAUAAGUCCCAACUGUCUGAGGCUGGAGGCAAAGAGACCAGGAGGCCAGAUAACAGGGCCUGAGCAACUACAUGGAUGCCAAAGCCACUUAUGGGACCUGACAUGGAGCUUUGUACACAGAAGGCAACUUGAGAAAUCAGGGGUUGAUGUGAAGAGUGAACUCACAGUAGGGCCUCAGGAGGAACAGGACAGAACACGCAGAUCCAGUUCCUGAGAAGGCAGGAAACCCUCUAUACCAUAGAGCUUUGAAAGGGGAGGAACCGAAUCUUGGAAGAAAGAUGUGGUUGAGCGAGGAGACCUGGAAAUCACCUGGAAGAGGCAGAAACAGAUGAAGCCACCAUGGCUCAGAGAGAGCAAGCAGCUUAUUUAAGCCCACACAGCAAAUUAGCCUGAGGCAGGAGUAAAGGGCAGGCUUGCUGACUGCCAAUCUGCUUCAGAGACACCAUCAUGCUUCACAGAGCACACACGCUCUGUGGUGAUAACAUUCUUAGCCCUAGGAAAAAAUGUUUUCCAUCUGUGGAUGAGUGAAUAUACAAAAUGUGGUAUACACAUGAAUCCCGUGGAGUAUUGUCUUAAUAUUAAGUCUUAAUGAGGAAACUCUAACACAUGCUACAAUAUGGAUGAGCCUUGAGGACAUCAGGUUAAGUGAAAUAAGCCAGUCACAAAAAGAGACUGCAUAAUUCCACUUAUAUGAGGUCUCUGAAGAAGUCAAACUCAUUGAGACAAAGCAGGAUGGCAGUUGCUAGGGCCUGGGGCUGGUGGAGGGGACCAUGUUUCAUGAGGACGGAGUAUCAGUUUGGGAUGAUGAUAAAGUUCUAGG